AUUAGAGUAGCUAGCCCGGUCCAUGCAAGAGACUUAAAAUCUCAUCACGAAGGUUCAAAUCCUUCCUCUAGCC
rnacentral:tRNA from 1 species